UGAACGCUGGCGGCGUGCUUAACACAUGCAAGUCGUACGAGAACUCUUUAGCUUGCUAAAGAUAGUAAAGUGGCGCACGGGUGAGUAACGCGUGGGUAAUCUACCUCCGAAUCGGGGAUAACCCGCCGAAAGGCGAGCUAAUACCGGAUAAUAUCUAUAAAACCUCGGUUUUAAAGAUCAAAGGUGGUCUCUACAUGUAAGCUACUGUUUGGAGAUGAGCCCGCGUACCAUUAGCUUGUUGGUAGGGUAAUGGCCUACCAAGGCUUCGAUGGUUAGCUGGUCUGAGAGGAUGAUCAGCCACACUGGAACUGACACACGGUCCAGACUCCUACGGGAGGCAGCAGUGAGGAAUUUUGCGCAAUGGGGGAAACCCUGACGCAGCAACGCCGCGUGAGUGAUGAAGGCUUUCGGGUCGUAAAGCUCUGUCAAGUGGGAAGAACAUGCUUGAUGCUAAUACCAUCUUGCACUGACGGUACCACUGAAGGAAGCACCGGCUAACUCC
rnacentral:rRNA from 1 species